AUAAAAAAAAAUUGUGAUUUUACAAAUUUAUUUAAAAUUUAUUUUACAUAUAAAUUUUAGUAUGAAUUUUUAAUUAUUUAAAUAAUAAUUAUAAAAAUUGUAGUAAUUAGAUUUAAAAAUUUAAGAAAUUAAGAUUUAGUAAUAUUUAAAUUAGUAACAAAUUUUGUGCCAGCAGUUGCGGUUAUACAAAAAUUAAAUUAAAUUUUUUCAGUAUUUAAUAAAUAAUUAAUAAUUUAAAAUAAAUAUUAAAUUAUUAGGUGAAAUUUUAAUUUAAUAAAAAAUUAUAAAAUAAUUAUGAUUUAUUAAAUUUAUAAAUAAACUAGGAUUAGAUACCCUAUUAUAGAAUUUAUAAAAUAAUACUAAAAUAGUAUGUAAUAAUUUAUUGAAACUUAAUUAAGUUGGCGGUAUUUUAGUUCAUUUAGAGGAAUCUGUUUAAUAAUUGAUAAUCCACGAAUAAAUUUACUUAAUUUAAAAUUUUAUAUAUCGUUGUUAAAAAAAUAUUUUUUAAAAAAAAUAAUAUUUAAAAAUUUUUAUAAAAAUUAAUUCAGAUCAAGAUGUAGAUUAUAAUUAAGAAUAUAAUGGAUUACAAUAAAUUUAUUUAAAUAGAAAUAAGUUUUGAAAUAAACAAUUAAAAGUGGAUUUAAAUGUAAUUUUAUUUAAUUUAUUAAAAUGAUUAAAAAUUAAAAUAUGUACAUAUUGCCCGUCACUUUCAUUUAAAAAUUGAAAUAAGUCGUAACAAAGUAGAUGUACUGGAAAGUGUUUCUAGAAUAA
rnacentral:ncRNA from 1 species